GCAGCUGCUACAGUUGGCUUUUGGCCAACAACCACAGCUCCUCUGGAAGUCCUGAGGCUUCCACUGGAGGAACCUAUAAAAAGCUCUCAUCUCUUCAGGUCUCAAAAGACAUUUUGAUUCCUGCACUCCACACUUUUUCCUGUACAACUGACCAGAUCCACUUCAUAAGCAUUACUGAUGUCACAGCAGCUACAACAGCAGCCUUUUCCCAAGAAUCCCACCCCAGCUCCUUGCCCAGCUCCUUGCCCAGCUCCUUGCCCAGCUUCCUGCCUGGUCCCUGGGUCAGGAGGUUGCUUUCUCACAAACCAGAGGCCCAGGGCACAGAGUCCCUGCUCCAUGGGGAGUCAAGGACAGCCUCAUAGGGCUCCUCGGAGAAAGCCCCGUUGCCUCCAAGGGGACACCUACUAUCAUUGCAAAGAGGAGGAAUGCUAGGUGCCAGUGCCCUUAAGUGAAGGCUUCCAUAUUGCAGGGUUGCCAGCUGGGGGAAGGAUGUGUUGAAGAGCAGUGAAUAGUAGGGAAUCUUCUUCUGACUCCUCUAAAGAAAUUAGAUGCUAAUUAAAAAAAAAGAUGCCCAGAAAUCCUUCAUUUUGUCCUUCCGGUAAAGAAGCCAUCUUCAUUGCAAGGACCUUCUUGGGGAGAACUGAAUAAAGAACAAUUGACUUUCUCUUCCCUGUCCUCCAGCUAAACAACAAUAAAACUUCUCUGUUAUAAACUCA